rnacentral:sRNA from 1 species
UCACUCUCUCUCAAGAUCGCCAGGGUUGAUUCGGCUGAUCUGGCUGGCUAGGGGGG